CGGGAGUGAGGGGCGGGCGCCGGGCGGCCCGGGGUGAGCUGGGGGUGGAGGAGGUGCGGAAAGUUUGGAGGUGAAGGCGAAGGACUGACGGGGCCUUGCAGGUGAAUGCCUCACCAUCAUGGCAGAAGACUAGAGAAAUUUUAUUCCAAAGGAUUUGAACCAGAAGGACUCAGGAUUCAAGGGCACCAGGCACAGCUGAGAUUGGGAUCCAGUGAUAAAGAUGGGAUUAUGAAGUUUACAUAUUGAAUAGUAGGACCUCUAACCCCCCUUCUCCAAUUAGCCACAAGAAUGUUGGCCACUAGGCUUAUACCAUGUUCCUCUGUCACCACCAUCCUUACCCCGAGGCAAGAACUUAAAUGAUUCCUGUCUGUGGAAACUGACCAGCCCAAGAGAAAGUACCUCCUUUAUUGAGAAUGGGUGAUCCCCAACAAAACUGGAUCCCUGCUUGAUCAACCCACAGUGAGGGCACCAUUUGACAAGUGCAGCCCAUGUACACUAAGCUUCCAAAGAAUGCUUUUGUGGCUUUGACUCUAACAUUAAUGGACAAUCGGGGAUCAACAGACAUUUGGGGAAAUCCUGAUCAUGAAAGAGACCAAAACAAAUGGACAAAUAAAAGAACUAAAACAGUGCAUGAGAAAGAAGAAAACUUCCAAAAAUCUGUAAUUAAGAUGUCAAGGGAUAUUGUAUCCAGGAAACAAGAAUGGAAUACCAUCAAAGAAUGUCCUUAGAAUGAGGGAAAAAAGGAGGUUGGGGGGAGCGGAGAUGCUUAGAUAUGAACGGAAGGAGAGCAGAGAAAAAAUCAGCUGAAAGGUUGGCAUAAAGAAGGAGGAGAUUGUGCAGAAAAUAAAAGAAAAAUAAUUCUAAAUUAGAAAAAAA